AAUAACAACAUUGAAACUUGAAUACGAGUACAGUCAUCCAAUAACCAGUCUUAGAGCUGAUAACAUACUAUUACAGUACUCCAUUAAAGUAAUUUUUCCCCUUCAUUAGAAAACAUAAAUUAAAGCAGAGGAUGAUGAUGACGGUAAGUCAGUUGGCCGAACAAAUUUGCGGAGGAUGGCAUCCACAUUGUCAUCCUUUUCUGCCCACAUUGGAAGUCGAAUGACAGGUUUUGGCGUUUCCUUCACCAACUCAACUGAUGGAUGACAAAUGUCAGGUGGAAAAACCUUCACAAUGUUGCGGUGAACGAUAUUGAGGUAGUGGUUGUUCCAUAUGAACAUAAGGAUUUCGCCU
rnacentral:lncRNA from 1 species